rnacentral:rRNA from 1 species
CGAAUCACGCUGGCGGCGUGCCUCAGACAUGCAAGUCGAACGCGAAAGUUCCCUUCGGGGAACAAGUAGAGUGGCGCACGGGUGAGUAACACGUAGGUAAUCUACCUUUGGAUGGGGAAUAACAACCGGAAACGGUUGCUAAUACCGCAUAAUGCAGCGGCACCUAAUGGUGACAGUUGUUAAAGCGGGGGAUCGAAAGACCUCGCGUCUAAAGAGGAGCCUGCGGCGGAUUAGCUAGUUGGUAAGGUAAUGGCUUACCAAGGCGACGAUCCGUAGCCGGCCUGAGAGGGCGGUCGGCCACACUGACACUGACAUACGGGUCAGACUCCUACGGGAGGCAGCAGUCGGGAAUUUUGGGCAAUGGGCGAAAGCCUGACCCAGCAACGCCGCGUGAAGGAUGAAAUCCCUCGGGAUGUAAACUUCGCAAGAACGGGAAGAAUAAGUGAGAGUUAAUAUCUCUCAUGAUGACGGUACCGUUUGUAAGCUCCGGCUAACUCCGUGCCAGCAGCCGCGGUAAUACAGAGGUCCCAAGCGUUGUUCGGAUUCACUGGGCGUAAAGGGUGCGUAGGCGGUCGGGUAAGUCUCAUGUGAAAUCCCGCAGCUCAACUGCGGAAUGGCAUGGGAUACUAUUUGGCUGGAGGGUUGGAGGGGGGACUGGAAUUCUCGGUGUAGCAGUGAAAUGCGUAGAUAUCGAGAGGAACACCAGUGGCGAAGGCGAGUCCCUGGACAACUCCUGACGCUGAGGCACGAAAGCUAGGGGAGCAAACAGGAUUAGAUACCNUGGUAGUCCUAGCCGUAAACGGUGCACGUUUGCUGUGAGAGGAAUCGACCCCUUUCGUGGCGAAGCUAACGCGUUAAACGUGCCGCCUGGGGAGUACGGUCGCAAGAUUAAAACUCAAAGAAAUUGACGGGGGCCUGCACAAGCGGUGGAGUAUGUGGCUUAAUUCGAUGCAACGCGAAGAACCUUACCUGGCCUUGACAUGUAGGUAGUAGAAGGGUGAAAGCCUAACGAGGUAGCAAUACCAGCCUACACAGGUGCUGCAUGGCUGUCGUCAGCUCGUGUCGUGAGAUGUUGGGUUAAGUCCCGCAACGAGCGCAACCCUUGCGUCCUGUUGCCACCCACACGAGAGUGUGGAGCACUCUGGACGGACUGCCUCGCUUAAACGAGGAGGAAGGUGGGGAUGACGUCAAGUCAGGAUGGCCCUUACGGCCAGGGCUGCACACGUACUACAAUGCCCGGUACAGAGGGAAGCAAGACCGCAAGGUGGAGCAAAUCCCAGAAAACCGGGCCCAGUUCAGAUUGUCGGCUGCAACUCGCCGACAUGAAGUUGGAAUCGCUAGUAAUGGCGCAUCAGCUACGGCGCCGUGAAUACGUUCCCAGGCCUGCA